rnacentral:misc_RNA from 1 species
GGGUUUCUGCUCUUCCCGUGCGCAUGGGGGCUACAUUCCAGUGGCCUUAAGCAAAUCCGAGGGCGCUGGCUCUGUCCGGACUCCGGUUCGGUUACCCGGUACCCACCUGUACAUACAGGUCCUCGGGAAUAAGCCCUCGCACGGUCGCUGCGGUUCCCGC